rnacentral:ncRNA from 1 species
ACAUCGGCUAUGACUAGGAAAAGUAAUUUUAUAAUUUAUUCUAGAGAGUUAUCAUUGGGUGAAAGAUAAUAUAAAUAUCAAAUGAAAAGACACCUACGAGCCACUUAUCUGAACUAAUAGUAGGACAAGUCGGAUUAAACCGUUAUCCAUAAUAAGUGAUUAUAUAUUAACCAAAUUUUUAUAUAAUAAGUUGGGUGGUACCGCGGAUAUUAACAGUUAUUCGUCCCUUUG